UACGAAGGGGGCUAGCGUUGUUCGGAAUUACUGGGCGUAAAGGGCGCGUAGGCGGUCAGCACAAGUCAGUUGUGAAAUCUCCGGGCUUAACUCGGAAAGGUCAACUGAUACUGUGCGACUAGAGUGCGGAAGGGGCAACUGGAAUUCUCGGUGUAGCGGUGAAAUGCGUAGAUAUCGAGAGGAACACCUGCGGCGAAGGCGGGUUGCUGGGCCGACACUGACGCUGAUGCGCGAAAGCCAGGGGAGCGAACGGG
rnacentral:rRNA from 1 species